rnacentral:rRNA from 1 species
UACGUAGGUGGCAAGCGUUGUCCGGAAUUAUUGGGCGUAAAGCGCGCGCAGGCGGUCCUUUAAGUCUGAUGUGAAAGCCCGGGGGCUCAACCCCGGGAGGCGGGCGGAUACUGUCGGGCUAGAGUCCGGAAGAGGCGAGUGGAAUUCCUGGUGUAGCGGUGAAAUGCGCAGAUAUCAGGAGGAACACCAAUGGCGAAGGCAGCUCGCUGGGACGGUACUGACGCUGAGACGCGAAAGCGUGGGGGAGCAAACAGG